AGCCCCGCCUAGAAUCCCCCCAGAGAGGGCUGGGGGCGUGGUCAGGGUGGAGCCCCGCCCAGAAUCCCCCAGUGAGGGGCUGGGGGCGUGGUCAGGGUGGAGCCCCGCCUAGAAUCCCCAGGUGAGGGGCUGGGGGCGUGGUCAGGGUGGAGCCCCGCCCAGAACCCCCAGUGAGGGGCUGGGGGCGUGGUCAGGGUGGAGCCCCGCCCAGAAUCCCCAGUGAGGGGCGGGGGCGUGGUCAGGGUGGAGCCCCGCCCAGAAUCCCUCAGUGAGGGGCUGGGGGCGUGGCUUUGCUGGUCACUUCGGGCCAGACUGCUGCUGAUGGGCUGUGAACAUGCCCUGCACUUGCUCCACCUUCUCCUGGACACCCGAGUUCGAAUCCAGGCCGCCUUUCCCCCUCCCACCCGCAGGAGCAGCUGUGGCCAGGGUGGGCCUGCGCAGGCGCCACUCAGCCUUCACCAUGGAAAUGGUGUCAUCAGGCCAAAAUAACCGUCACCUGGGGGAGACUGAGGCCGGUGGAUGGCGAGAUGCAUACCAGCCUGGGCAGCACCGUGAGAUUCGGUCUGAAGAUAGAAUAAUAAAGUAGAAAAGAUGAGACUAAGUGAAAGAACAUAAGGAAAUUUUAAGAUAAAUUUCAAAGUGAAAUUAAAAUUUAAAACAAAACAAAUUCA